GACGAACGCUGGCGGCGUGCUUAACACAUGCAAGUCGAACGGAAAGGCCCUGCUUGCAGGGUACUCGAGUGGCGAACGGGUGAGUAACACGUGGGUGAUCUGCCCUGCACUUCGGGAUAAGCUUGGGAAACUGGGUCUAAUACCGGAUAGGACCGCACUUUAGUGUGUGUGGUGGAAAGUUUUUUCGGUGUAGGAUGAGCUCGCGGCCUAUCAGCUUGUUGGUGGGGUAAUGGCCUACCAAGGCGGCGACGGGUAGCCGGCCUGAGAGGGUGUACGGCCACAUUGGGACUGAGAUACGGCCCAGACUCCUACGGGAGGCAGCAGGGGGGAAUAUUGCACAAUGGGCGCAAGCCUGAUGCAGCGACGCCGCGUGGGGGAUGAAGGCCUUCGGGUUGUAAACUCCUUUCGCUAGGGACGAAGCUUUUUGUGACGGUACCUAGAUAAGAAGCACCGGCUAACUACGUG
rnacentral:rRNA from 1 species